rnacentral:rRNA from 1 species
CCGGCGACCGGCGCACGGGUGAGUAACACGUAUGCAACCUGGCCGUGACAGAUGGAUAACCGGGAGAAAUCCCGCCUAAUACAACAUAAUGCCGGGAGGGGACAUCCCCUGCCGGCCAAAGGGGGCGACCCCGGUCACGGAUGGGCAUGCGGCGCAUUAGGUAGUUGGUGGGGCAACGGCCCACCAGGCCGACGAUGCGUAGGGGUUCUGAGAGGAAGGUCCCCCACAUUGGAACUGAGACACGGUCCAAACUCCUACGGAAGGCAGCAG